rnacentral:hammerhead_ribozyme from 1 species
AUCCAGUUGACGAGUCCCAAAUAGAACGAAACGCGCAUCCUGGAU